AGAGUUUGAUCCUGGCUCAGAAUCAACGCUGGCGGCGCGCUUAACACAUGCAGGUCGCACGAGAAAGUGGAGCAAUCCAUGAGUAAAGUGGCGUACGGGUGAGUAACACGUGGAUCAUCUACCUCUUGGUGGGGAAUAACCCUGGGAAACCGGGGCUAAUACCGCAUAAGCCUGCAAAGGGAAAGCAGCAAUGCGCCGAGAGAGGAGUCCGCGGCCGAUUAGCUUGUUGGUAGGGUAAUGGCCUACCAAGGCAAUGAUCGGUAGCCGGCCUGAGAGGGCACACGGCCACACUGGCACUGAAACACGGGCCAGACUCCUACGGGAGGCAGCAGUGGGGAAUCUUGCACAAUGGGGGCAACCCUGAUGCAGCGACGCCGCGUGAGCGAUGAAGCCCUUCGGGGUGUAAAGCUCUUUCGGCAGGAACGAUAAUGGCGGUACCUGCAGAAGAAGCUGCGGCUAACUACGUGCCAGCAGCCGCGGUAAUACGUAGGCAGCAAGCGUUGUUCGGAGUUACUGGGCGUAAAGAGUGUGUAGGCGGUUCUCUAAGUUCGGUGUGAAAUCUCCCGGCUCAACUGGGAGGGUGCGCCGAAAACUGGAGGGCUUGAGUAUGGGAGGAGGAAAGCGGAAUU
rnacentral:rRNA from 1 species